rnacentral:rRNA from 1 species
UACGUAGGGGGCAAGCGUUGUCCGGAUUUAUUGGGCGUAAAGAGCGUGUAGGCGGCCAGACAGGUCCGUUGUGAAAACUCGAGGCUCAACCUCGAGACCGCCGAUGGAAACCGUCUGGCUAGAGUCCGGAAGAGGAGAGUGGAAUUCCUGGUGUAGCGGUGAAAUGACGCAGAUAUCAGGAAGAACACCCGUGGCUAAGGCGGCUCUCUAGUACGGUACUGACGCUGAGACGCGAAAGCGUGGGGAGCGAACAGG